GGGAGGAAAUGAGACAGCAAAACGUUUACAGUGAAUCAGCUUAGUAUGACCGACAUGCUAAUCUAUCAACUGAUCUUUAAAGCAGGGCUCCUGGUCUUUACUGCUGGCAGAAGAGAGACAACGAUGGGAAACCAUUGCCGCUGGCUCGAAAAUGCGGCUUCCAAACAGAAAACUUGCAAUGAGACACGAGCAGGACGAAAAUAUUAAAUCAAUCUCACUCUCGCUGGAAAAACAAAAGAAUAUUAACCAAAUGGCUGACUUCUGUGUCGUCAUGACAUCUACAAGAUCACAGGAUUAGUUUGCAUACAGAAGGCCUUUUGGCCCAUCAGAUCUCAUCUUUCCAAAACUCCCAUCCUAAUGUCUUCCCAUGACAGCGUCAAGCUACUUUUUAAUUGAGUCCCAGUGUCCUGGCGCAACCACCUUUCCUGACAACCUGCGACAAUCCUUAAUUAUCCCUGGAGCAAAGAAAAACAACAACAACAACAAGAUUCCAUUUAAAGAGCGCCUUUCAGGUCGGGAGGACGUCCCAAGGCGUCCCAAAACAUCCUGGUAUCUGCCCCUGAGUGUCAUUACCAGUAGU